GACGAACGCUGGCGGCGUGCUUAACACAUGCAAGUCGAACGGAAAGGCCCUGCUUGCAGGGUACUCGAGUGGCGAACGGGUGAGUAACACGUGGGUGAUCUGCCCUGCACUUCGGGAUAAGCCUGGGAAACUGGGUCUAAUACCGGAUAGGAGCCAUUUUUAGUGUGAUGGUUGGAAAGUUUUUUCGGUGUAGGAUGAGCUCGCGGCCUAUCAGCUUGUUGGUGGGGUAAUGGCCUACCAAGGCGGCGACGGGUAGCCGGCCUGAGAGGGUGGACGGCCACAUUGGGACUGAGAUACGGCCCAGACUCCUACGGGAGGCAGCAGCGGGGAAUAUUGCACAAUGGGCGCAAGCCUGAUGCAGCGACGCCGCGUGGGGGAGGACGGCCUUCGGGUUGGAAACUCCUUUCGCUAGGGACGAAGCUUUUUGUGACGGUACCUAGAUAAGAAGCACCGGCUAACUACGUG
rnacentral:rRNA from 1 species